rnacentral:rRNA from 1 species
GAGUUUGAUCAUGGCUCAGAAUGAACGCUGGCGGCGUGCUUAACACAUGCAAGUCGUACGAGAAAUCCUUGGCUUGCCAGGGAGAGUAAAGUGGCGCACGGGUGAGUAACGCGUGGGUAAUCUACCCUUGGAUUCAGGAUAACACUUCGAAAGGGGUGCUAAUACUGGAUAACAUCCUGAUGGUUUCGGCCAUAAGGAUCAAAGAUAGCCUCUACAUGUAAGCUAUUGUACAGGGAUGAGCCCGCGUACCAUUAGCUAGUUGGUGGGGUAAGAGCCUACCAAGGCAACGAUGGUUAGCUGGUCUGAGAGGAUGAUCAGCCACACUGGAACUGAAACACGGUCCAGACUCCUACGGGAGGCAGCAGUGAGGAAUUUUGCGCAAUGGGGGAAACCCUGACGCAGCAACGCCGCGUGAGUGAAGAAGGCUUUCGGGUCGUAAAGCUCUGUCAAGAGGGAAGAAAGUGGAAGGUGGUAAUACUGUUUUCUAUUGACGGUACCUCUGAAGGAAGCACCGGCUAA